rnacentral:rRNA from 1 species
UCCGGUUGAUCCUGCCGGAGGCUACUGCUAUCAGAAUUCGAUUAAGCCAUGUGAGUCGAGAGGGUUCGGCCCUCGGCAGACGGCUCAGUAACACGUGGAUAACCUGCCCUCAGGUGGGGGAUAAUCUCGGGAAACUGAGGAUAAUACCCCAUAGGCAUCCUUUGCUGGAAUGCUUGGAUGCCCAAAGCCCCAAGCGCCUGAGGAUGGGUCUGCGGCCUAUCAGGUUGUAGUGGGUGUAAAGGACCCACUAGCCAGCGACGGGUACGGGCCUUGGAAGAGGUAGCCCGGAGAUGGACUCUGAGACACGAGUCCAGGCCCUACGGGGCGCAGCAGGCGCGAAAACUUCGCAAUGCGGGAAACCGUGACGAGGGAAUUCUGAGUGCUCAUACAAUGUAUGGGCUUUUCUGACGUGUAAAAAGCAUCAGGAAUAAGGGCUGGGUAAGACCGGUGCCAGCCGCCGCGGUAAUACCGGCAGCUCGAGUGGUAGCCGCUUUUAUUGGGCCUAAAGCGUCCGUAGCCGGUCAGGUAAAUCCUUGGGUAAAUCGUAUUGCUUAACGAUACGACCUCCGGGGAGACUGCCUGACUUGGGACCGGGAGAGGUUGGAGGUACUCCUGGGGUAGGGGUGAAAUCCUGUAAUCCUAGGUGGACCACCGGUGGCGAAGGCGUCCAACCAGAACGGCUCCGACGGUGAGGGACGAAGGCUAGGGGCGCAAACCGGAUUAGAUACCCGGGUAGUCCUAGCUGUAAACGCUGCAGGCUUGGUGUUGGAGAUCCUACGAGGGUGUCCAGUGCCGGAGAGAAGUUGUUAAGCUUGCCGCCUGGGAAGUAUGGUCGCAAGACUGAAACUUAAAGGAAUUGGCGGGGGAGCACCGCAACGGGAGGAGCGUGCGGUUUAAUUGGAUUCAACGCCGGAAAGCUCACCGGGGGCGACUGUUACAUGAAGGCCAGUUCAAAGACUUUGCCUGAUUUUCAGAGAGGUGGUGCAUGGCCGACGUCAGUUCGUACCGCAAGGCGUUCUGUUAAGUCAGAUAACGAACGAGACCCCUUUCCUUAUUUGCUAAGUUAUCCUCCGGGAUGACAGCACUAUAGGGAGACCGCCACUGCUAAAGUGGAGGAAGGAGGGGGCAACGGUAGGUCAGUAUGCCCCGAAUCUCCCGGGCUACACGCGCGCUACAAAGGAUGGGACAAUGGGCUCCGACACCGAGAGGUGAAGGCAAUCUCGAAACCCAUUCAUAGUUCGGAUUGAGGGCUGUAAUCCGCCCUCAUGAAGCUGGAUUCCGUAGUAAUCGCGGGUCAACAUCCCGCGGUGAAUAUGCCCCUGCUCCUUGCACACACCGCCCGUCAAACCAUCCGAGUUGGGUCUAAGUGAGGGCUUCUCUCUUUGGGGAGUUCGAACUUGGGUUCGGCAAGGAGGGUUAAGUCGUAACAAGGUA